GACUAUGGCUAUACCUAAACGAAAGCGCCAGUUUCCGUCUGAUCACUGCAGUUAAGUGAAGACAUUUGAGGGUCUAGCCUCGUUAGUACUUUCUAUGGUUAGAGACAACAUGGGAAUCUGGGGUGCGGUAGGCU
rnacentral:rRNA from 1 species